AGUGGGGAAUCUUGCGCAAUGGGCGAAAGCCUGACGCAGCCAUGCCGCGUGAAUGAUGAAGGUCUUAGGAUUGUAAAGUUCUUUCGCCCGUGACGAUGAUGACGGUAACGGGAGAAGAAGCCCCGGCUAACUUCGUGCCAGCAGCCGCGGUAAUACGAAGGGGGCUAGCGUUGUUCGGAAUUACUGGGCGUAAAGCGCGCGUAGGCGGUUUUGCAAGCCAGAGGUGAAAUGCCUGAGCUCAACUUAGGAAUUGCCUUUGGGACUGUGAGGCUUUGAGGACUGGAGAGGUGAGUGGAAUUCCCAGUGUAGAGGUGAAAUUCGUAGAUAUUGGGAAGAACACCGGUGGCGAAGGCGGCUCACUGGCCAGUUUCUGACGCUGUAGCGCGAAAGCGUGGGGAUCAAA
rnacentral:rRNA from 1 species